AGCAGCCGCGGUAAUUCCAGCUCCAAUAGCGUAUAUUAAAGUUGUUGCAGUUAAAAAGCUCGUAGUUGAAUUUCGGGAUCAAGGAAUCGGUCAUGCCUCGGUAUGUACUGGUUUUAUUGGUUCUCACCUUCUAAAGAACCAUAAUGUCAUUCAUUUGAUGUUAUGGGGAAUCAGGACUGUUACUUUGAAAAAAUUAGAGUGUUUAAAGCAGGCUCACGCUUGAAUACAUUAGCAUGGAAUAAUGAAAUAGGACGUUUGAUUCUAUUUUGUUGGUUUCUAGGAUCGACGUAAUGAUUAAUAGGGAUAGUUGGGGGCAUUAGUAUUCAAUUGUCAGAGGUGAAAUUCUUGGAUUUAUUGAAGACUAACUACUGCGAAAGCAUUUGCCAAGGAUGUUUUCAUUAAUCAAGAACGAAAGUUAGGGGAUCGAAGGCGAUCAGAUACCGUCGUAGUCUUAACCAUAAACUAUGCCGACUAGGGAUCGGAUGAUGUUAAUUUUUUAAUGUA
rnacentral:rRNA from 1 species